rnacentral:rRNA from 1 species
UACGUAGGUGGCAAGCGUUAUCCGGAAUUAUUGGGCGUAAAGAGCGCGCAGGUGGUUGAUUAAGUCUGAUGUGAAAGCCCACGGCUUAACCGUGGAGGGUCAUUGGAAACUGGGAGACUUGAGUGCAGAAGAGGGAAGUGGAAUUCCAUGUGUAGCGGUGAAAUGCGUAGAGAUAUGGAGGAACACCAGUGGCGAAGGCGGCUUCCUGGUCUGUAACUGACACUGAGGCGCGAAAGCGUGGGGAGCAAACAGGAUUAGAUACCCCCGUA